rnacentral:rRNA from 1 species
UACGUAGGGUGCGAGCGUUAAUCGGAAUUACUGGGCGUAAAGGUUGCGCAGGCGGCGUCGCAAGUCAGGCGUGAAAUCCCCGGACUUAACCUGGGAACUGCACUUGAAACUACGAUGCUGGAGUAUGGCAGAGGGAAGUGGAAUUCCUAGUGUAGCGGUGAAAUGCGUAGAGAUUAGGAAGAACACCAGUGGCGAAGGCGACUUACUGGACUGUAACUGACGCUGAGGCAUGAAAGAGUGGGGAGCAAACAGG